rnacentral:rRNA from 1 species
UUCCAGACUCCUACGGGAGGCAGCAGUGGGGAAUAUUGCACAAUGGGGGAAGCCCUGAUGCAGCGACGCCGCGUGAGCGAUGAAGUAUUUCGGUAUGUAAAGCUCUAUCAGCAGGGAAGAAGAUGACGGUACCUGACUAAGAAGCCCCGGCUAACUACGUGCCAGCAGCCGCGGUAAUACGUAGGGGGCAAGCGUUAUCCGGAUUUACUGGGUGUAAAGGGAGCGUAGACGGCCAUGCAAGCCAGGGGUGAAAGCCCGGGGCCCAACCCCGGGACUGCCCUUGGAACUGCAUGGCUGGAGUGCGGGAGGGGCAGGCGGAAUUCCUGGUGUAGCGGUGAAAUGCGUAGAUAUCAGGAGGAACACCGGCGGCGAAGGCGGCCUGCUGGACCGCGACUGACGUUGAGGCUCGAAAGCGUGGGGAGCGAACAGGAUUAGAUACCCCAGUA